AAUUUACGUAACCGUUAAGUGUUAAUACUAUAUUAAUUAACCACAAUAUUAAUUGUGUGAUUGAUAAAGUGUGUUUUGAACUUCUUUCUAACAUACAAAACAAUAUCAAAGAAAAUCAAGAAUAAAAUAAUUUCAAAAUUGAAAUCUAGUUCUUCCACAAGAAAAAUUGGAAAAGAAUAUAAUGACAACCAAAAUUAUCAACACAGCAGAAAAGAAGUUGUUGGGUAUAUAUAUUCAGGUGAAGCUUCGAAUGUUUCUAUGGCCACAAAUAUAUUAAAGGAAAGCACAAGAAAGUCGAUUAGUAAAUGAGCAGUGAUGAGAGAAUUAAGAAGUCAGAAUUAUAAUAUAUGCAAUAAAAAGAAAUAAAAAUCUAUGUUAUCUAAGAAGAAUGUAAAAGCAUGUUUAACAUUUUCAAAGAAGUACAAUUUGAAUUAAAUAAUGGAGAAGUAUAAUAUGGUCCAAUAAAACGAAAAUUAAUCUAAUAUCAUCAGAUAGCAAAGUAUAGUAUUGGAAGAGAAAAGGUGAAAAUCUGAAACAACACCAAUUCAAAGAAAUAUUAAAACAUGGCUAUGGCUCCAUUAUGAUAUGGGGAUAUGUGACGUCCUAUGGAAUAGGUGGAAGAUACAGAAUUGUUAGCACUAUGAACCUAUAUAUAGUAGCAGUCAUAAUUUUAAGUUGUCAAUUGUAAACAAAAUACAAAUUUUUCCAUAUUCACUUCUUUCAAACUCCUAGGAGGAGCGGCUAUUUGUAUAAGAUAAU